GAUGAAGAACGCAGCGAAAUGCGAUAAGUAAUGUGAAUUGCAGAAUUCAGUGAAUCAUCGAAUCUUUGAACGCACAUUGCGCCCGCCAGUAUUCUGGCGGGCAUGCCUGUCUGAGCGUCAUUUCAACCCUCAAGCAACUUCUGCUUGGUGUUGGGGAUCGGCCGUCAAACGCCGCCCCCGAAAUCUAUUCGCGAUCUCGCUGUAGCUUCCUAUGCGUAGUAGUAACAUCUCGCAUCUGGAGAGCGGCGCGGUCAUGCCGUAAAACACCCAACUUCUCAGGUUGACCUCAGAUCAGGUAGGAAUACCCGCUGAACUUAAGCAUAUCAAUAAGCGGAGGA
rnacentral:misc_RNA from 1 species